UAUUUCACAAUGGGGGAAACCCUGCUGCAGCGACGCCGCGUGAGCGAAGAAGUAUCCCGGUAUGCAAAGCUCUAUCAGCAGGGAAGAAAGAAAUGACGGUACCUGAGUAAGAAGCCCCGGCUAACUACGUGCCAGCAGCCGCGGUAAUACGUAGGGGGCAAGCGUUAUCCGGAAUUACUGGGUGUAAAGGGAGCGUAGACGGUCAUGUAAGUCUGGAGUGAAAGGCGGGGGCCCAACCCCCGGACUGCUCUGGAAACUAUGUGACUGGAGUGCAGGAGAGGUGAGCGGAAUUCCUAGUGUAGCGGUGAAAUGCGUAGAUAUUAGGAGGAACACCAGUGGCGAAGGCGGCUCACUGGACUGUAACUGACGUUGAGGCUCGAAAGCGUGGGGAGCAAACAGG
rnacentral:rRNA from 1 species